AUUGAACGCUGGCGGCAUGCCUUACACAUGCAAGUCGAACGGCAGCGGACCUUCGGGUGCCGGCGAGUGGCGAACGGGUGAGUAAUAUAUCGGAACGUACCUUUCAGUGGGGGAUAACGUAGCGAAAGUUACGCUAAUACCGCAUAUUCUGUGAGCAGGAAAGCAGGGGAUCGCAAGACCUUGCGCUGAUUGAGCGGCCGAUAUCAGAUUAGCUAGUUGGUGAGGUAAAGGCUCACCAAGGCGACGAUCUGUAGCGGGUCUGAGAGGAUGAUCCGCCACACUGGAACUGAGACACGGUCCAGACUCCUACGGGAGGCAGCAGUGGGGAAUAUUGGACAAUGGGCGAAAGCCUGAUCCAGCAACGCCGCGUGAGGGAUGACGGCCUCGGUUGUAA
rnacentral:rRNA from 1 species